AGUCUCCAUAAUCUAAUCUCCAGAAUGCACUAAACCAGGAGAAGAUCCACCUGGAAUGGAAGAAUAUUAAGGAGAACAAGUCCUCAUCUCUCCAAAGACCCUUCAUCCUUCAUUUCACAAUAGUCUUUAUUGGUCUGCUGGAGUUUGCUGGAGGUCCACUCCAGACCCUGUUUGCCUGGGUAUCACCGGCAGAGGCUGCAGAGCAGCAAAGAUUGCUGCCUGCUCCUUCCUCUGGAAGCUUCAUCCCAAAGGGGCACCCGCCUGAUGCCAGCCAGAGCUCUCCUGUACGAGAGAUGCCCUGCCCAGUGAGGAGGAAUCUAGAGAAGCAGUCUGGCCAUAGCUUUGCUGCACUGCGCACUUCUCCUUGCUGCCGCCAUGUGAAGAAGAAUGUGUUUGCUUCCCCUUCCGCCAUGAUUGUCAUGACAUUUUGAGCACAAUUGUGUGUGGGAUGCAUUCAUCAAUAGAGCUGGAAGCACCAACCACCAUAGGAGUAGAGACAGGGUUUCACCACAUUGGCUAGGCUGGUCUUGAACUCCUGACCUCAAGUGAUCCACCCCCAUCAGCAUCCCAAAGUGCUGGGAUUACAGAGGAAACUUUUAGUUACAAGCACAUGAAUAAAUAAAAUCAAACUCAACUGGAAUGACGUUCCUGAGGAUGGAGAUACAUUUUUUUGUUGACCCAUCUAAACUUGAACAGCAAGUGAUAAUCAGUCUCCAAUCAGAAAGUCCCAGGACUUAUAGGAGCAGAAAUCAGAAGACUUUACUCCACACACUUCAGGUGGACAUGUGGACAAAGCCAUCGGAGAACAUGACAAAAAUACAGCAAGAGCAGAGACAAGAUCAGAUCAUCCUGGGGGCAGAUGCUGGGCUCUGACCAAUUUGAGAGAGAAAAGGAAAAAGAACCCAGCUACAAGAUGCACAAGUAGCAGGCCACAGCCACCAACAUCAGCAGAGCAAUUGGAGGCCAGGAAGACAAGGACACUUCUGAAGAGACUGAAAAAAGCAGAAGACAGUCCAAGUCACUGCAAGGUUCCAAGGUCUCUUUUUUCAUUACUGUUACAAGUACCAAGUAAGCCAAAAUCCACCCUACUCUUCAAAACCAUCUUGAAGAGUUGCAGGUCAGGGUUGCUGCAUCUGAGCAUGUUUACUCACAAAAGGUGACAGAUGCUCCUCAACUUACAAUGAGAUUACAUCCUGAUAAAUGUGUCAUAAGUUGAAAGUAUCUUAUAAGUCGAAAAUGCAUUUACUACAGCCUAACCCACUGAACAUUGUAGCUUAGGCUAGCCUACCUUAAAACGUGAUCAGGACACUUCCCUCAGCCUACAUUUGGGCAAAAUCACCUAACACGAAGCCUAUUUUAUAAUAGAGCAUUGAAUAGCUCAAAUAAUUUAUUGAAUACUGUACAUUACAUAGAAUUUGUGACAGUUUUACACCAUCAUUAUGUCAAAAAAUCAUUAAGUUGAGCCACCAUAACUCAGGGACUGUCUGUAUUUAUAUUUUUACUUCACACUAAGCUUUGAAACUGAAAUUUUUGCUCCUCAGCAGAUGGGGUUUCUGAGAAAGACCAAAUUAGUUAUAGAGCACUAGCUCCCAAAAAAAAAAAAAAAAAAAAACAGAAGAAGUCAGAGGAGGAGGGCAACAUGGAGCAGAGGAAGAAGGAGAGAAAAAGCAAGAAACCAUUAUCGCUCCCUCAUCUGAACUGCACUGCGAGUAAGCUGGGGCUUCCACCACAGUGUCCUGGAAGCCAUGUUUGCUGCCCAUUUCUGGACUCUCCAGCCACACUGGCCUCCUUUCCCUUUCUCAAACCUGCUGUGGUUCCUGCCACUUCAAGAUAAUCUCUUAACAAUCUAUUCCUUCUGCCUGGAAUGCUCUUCCUCCCACCCAACCCCGCUCUGCCCAGCUAACUCCAUUCUUUGGCCCCUGCAUCACUUUCCCAAGGAAGCCAUUUCUGGACUUCCCUGACCCCUGCCUUCCAUCUUCACUGGCCCAGAGUUCCCUACCCUAUGGUCUCAUUGCUCCCUCCCAGGCACUGCUGCCUCCCAGGACUCUUCCCUGUCGGUAAUAUAGUUCUGUUUGAUUGUUCAGUUAAUUUUGCCUCCCCUGAAGACCAUAAGCCAUGUUGGCAAUGAUGGUUUUGCUCACCAUUGCACCUCCAGUGUCUAAAAACCAUGGGCAGGUCAAUUCAUUUUUGUUGAGUAAAGGAAUUGUUCAAUAAGUGCACAAAUAAAUUCACAUUAAAACUUGUCCAAAAACAAAGGAGUUUUCUUGUGAGAAGCAGCUGCUCAUUCUGGGGCAUUCAAGUGCAGUGAGAUGACAACGAUGACCAUUGGAGAUGCUUUCAAAGUGAUGCCGGCACUAGACAGAUGGCUGGAGUGUGUACCCUUUAAGGACUCACCUAUCUCAGAAGUCAUGUGUGUUUCUGUAUGUGUAAAUGCACAAACAGACUGGAAGGAUAUGUGUUCAGCGUCUUUUCAGACUGUGAAGGUCCCUGCAACCAGAAGGAGAGCUGUCUUCAGGAAAGGAUGAAGGGAACGAGCAUCUGUCUGUGACUCUGGUGGUUGUGCAGGCAGGUCACCUCAAGGUGGAGUGACACUGUGGUGGGACAGGUGGAGCACCAGUGAGGAAGCUCUCAUGGGCCUGAGCCAACUGAAUUAAUUAAGACCAAGAACAGUAAAGGGACCCAGAGGGCAAACUCUGAGAGGCAGUCAUAAGCAGCACCCUCUCCCCAAACUGUAUUACUCAUUCCCACAGAAGUGUGUGUCUGCUUGCCUUUAAUCUGUUCUGACUGUAAGCCAUUUUGAGACAUCCCAGUCCCAAUGAUGGCCACCAUGUUCUGCAUUGAAUAGAUGCUUGACAUACAUCCAAUUAGUAAAAGCGAGUGAACU
rnacentral:lncRNA from 1 species